GAGAUGUAGACAGCCUGACAGGGCCGAAGCCAACUCACAAUGAGGAGAUGGACACGGUUUGGUCCCCUGGAGCUGUCCUUGUAGGUAAUCUCUGAGUAUUAAAAGGAUCAGCAAUGAAGGAUUAAGCUUUUUGAUUGCAGGUGCCAUCGAGGUAAUCUUUGGGAGCAGAUGAGCAUUGGAGGUGAGUCAGGGAGGCAGCAGGAGGAGCGGGGAUCCACUGCAGCUUUAGAGAUGCCAUCUAAUUUUGUCUCUCACUCACUCAGUUGACUCCGAGUAGUCUGACGAUGGCAGGAACCUCUGAGCCAGCCCAGGUGCCCCUCGUCUGCAUCAAAACUGGAUUGGCAUCCCCGGCUCUCGGAAAGAUAAGUGCAGGGCAAAGACCCAGAGAGGGGCUGGGAGUCAGUGCAAGUAUAUGUGCCUUGCCUGGAAGGGUUUUUGAAAUUAGUCCGGUGCAAGGGAUAUCCUAUAACAGAUUAUUUGUCUCGUCUGUGUUUUGUGUCCUUCGUCUCUUAAUUGUGUCACGUGGUGUGUGUUGUCACAGGUGUGGGGUGUCUCACUUGGGGUCAGCCUGGAACUGCUCUGCUUUGCUACGUGGAUCAGUGCGUAGAUAG
rnacentral:lncRNA from 1 species